AACCUUAUGGACCUGCGGGCGUAUACCUGCGGAAGGAUCAUUACAGAGUUGCAAAACUCCCUAAACCAUUGUGAACGUUACCUAAACCGUUGCUUCGGCGGGCGGCCCGGGUCCUUCCCGGCGCCCCUCGGCCCUCGCGGGCGCCCGCCGGAGGUAAACCAAACUAUUGCAUUGUAUGGCCUCUCUGAGUCUUCUGUACUGAAUAAGUCAAAACUUUUAACAACGGAUCUCAGAUCGGAA
rnacentral:misc_RNA from 1 species